rnacentral:rRNA from 1 species
GUUCCAGACUCCUACGGGAGGCAGCAGUGGGGAAUAUUGCACAAUGGGGGAAACCCUGAUGCAGCGACGCCGCGUGAGUGAGGAAGUAUUUCGGUAUGUAAAGCUCUAUCAGCAGGGAAGAAAAUGACGGUACCUGACUAAGAAGCCCCGGCUAACUACGUGCCAGCAGCCGCGGUAAUACGUAGGGGGCAAGCGUUAUCCGGAUUUACUGGGUGUAAAGGGAGCGUAGACGGCAGUGCAAGUCCGGAGUGAAAGCCCGGGGCUCAACCCUGGGACUGCUCUGGAAACUGUAAAGCUGGAGUGCGGGAGGGGCAGGCGGAAUUCCUGGUGUAGCGGUGAAAUGCGUAGAUAUCAGGAGGAACACCGGCGGCGAAGGCGGCCUGCUGGACCGUAACUGACGUUGAGGCUCGAAAGCGUGGGGAGCAAACAGGAUUAGAUACCCCGGUAUC